GGCGUAAAGGGCUCGCAGGCGGUUUCUUAAGUCUGAUGUGAAAGCCCCCGGCUCAACCGGGGAGGGUCAUUGGAAACUGGGGAACUUGAGUGCAGAAGAGGAGAGUGGAAUUCCACGUGUAGCGGUGAAAUGCGUAGAGAUGUGGAGGAACACCAGUGGCGAAGGCGACUCUCUGGUCUGUAACUGACGCUGAGGAGCGAAAGCGUGGGGAGCGAACAGGAUUAGAUACCCUGGUAGUCCACGCCGUAAACGAUGAGUGCUAAGUGUUAGGGGGUUUCCGCCCCUUAGUGCUGCAGCUAACGCAUUAAGCACUCCGCCUGGGGAGUACGGUCGCAAGACUGAAACUCAAAGGAAUUGACGGGGGCCCGCACAAGCGGUGGAGCAUGUGGUUUAAUUCGAAGCAACGCGAAGAACCUUACCAGGUCUUGACAUCCUCUGACAAUCCUAGAGAUAGGACGUCCCCUUCGGGGGCAGAGUGACAGGUGGUGCAUGGUUGUCGUCAGCUCGUGUCGUGAGAUGUUGGGUUAAGUCCCGCAACGAGCGCAACCCUUGAUCUUAGUUGCCAGCAUUCAGUUGGGCACUCUAAGGUGACUGCCGGUGACAAACCGGAGGAAGGUGGGGAUGACGUCAAAUCAUCAUGCCCCUUAUGACCUGGGCUACACACGUGCUACAAUGGACAGAACAAAGGGCAGCGAAACCGCGAGGUUAAGCCAAUCCCACAAAUCUGUUCUCAGUUCGGAUCGCAGUCUGCAACUCGACUGCGUGAAGCUGGAAUCGCUAGUAAUCGCGGAUCACAUG
rnacentral:rRNA from 1 species